rnacentral:tRNA from 1 species
UAGAACAGGAUUCAAUUAUGAUAGGGGGUUGUAAAUUUCCUGGUGACUGAGCCCUGG